GACGAACGCUGGCGGCGUGCCUAACACAUGCAAGUCGAGCGAAUGAAGUUCCUUCGGGACUGGAUUUAGCGGCGGACGGGUGAGUAACACGUGGGCAACCUGCCUCAUAGAGGGGAAUAGCCUCCCGAAAGGGAGAUUAAUACCGCAUAAGAUUGUAGUACCGCAUGAUACAGCAAUUAAAGGAGCAAUCCGCUAUGAGAUGGGCCCGCGGCGCAUUAGCUAGUUGGUGAGGUAAUGGCUCACCAAGGCGACGAUGCGUAGCCGACCUGAGAGGGUGAUCGGCCACAGUGGGACUGAGACACGGCCCAGACUCCUACGGGAGGCAGCAGUGGGGAAUAUUGCACAAUGGGGGAAACCCUGAUGCAGCAACGCCGCGUGAGUGAUGACGGCCUUCGGGUUGUAAAGCUCUGUCUUCAGGGACGAUAAUGACGGUACCUGAGGAGGAAGCCACGGCUAACUACGUG
rnacentral:rRNA from 1 species